rnacentral:rRNA from 1 species
UGCCUGUGAAGACACUGUUUAACGGCCGCGGUAUUUUGACCGUGCAAAGGUAGCGCAAUCACUUGUCUUUUAAAUGAAGACCUGUAUGAAUGGCAUAACGAGGGCUAAGCUGUCUCCUUUUUUAAGUCAAUGAAAUUGAUCCCCCCGUGCAGAAGCGGGGAUAAAAACAUAAGACGAGAAGACCCUAUGGAGCUUAAGACAUUAAACAGCUUAAAGUAAAACUUCCCAUAAAAGAAACAAACCAAAAAAUGACCUGUUGUAUUGUCUUUGGUUGGGGCGACCGCGGGGAAACAAAAAACCCCCAUGUGGACUGGGACAACAUUCCUACAGUCAAGAGCUACAGCUCUAAAAAACAGAACUUCUGACCUUUAAGAUCCGGCGCAUUGGCCGAUCAACGGACCGAGUUACCCUAGGGAUAACAGCGCAAUCCCCUUUUAGAGCCCAUAUCGACAAGGGGGUUUACGACCUCGAUGUUGGAUCAGGACAUCCUAAUGGUGCAGCCGCUAUUAAGGGUUCGUUUGUUCAACGAUUAAAGUCCUACGUGAUCUGAGUUCAGA